AUUCCUACCAUGACAUCACAGUGAAUCUGACACGAAACUUUAAUGGGAAGCUUGGCUGCUCUGCAGGUCAGCACAGAUGAGGAAUGAAAGCAUCGCACGGGCCAGGUGAGGCUCAGCUGUCUAGGUAAGUGAUGAUGGUAUCAGGCCUCCCUGUUGUUCCCUGAUUUCGCUUCAGAUGUCUCCUCGGAAAUGAUAAGAUUCCCGGGCUUGCUAGACACCGUGAGUUUUCCCUCUGCAUAUUUCAGAGACAACGCCUAACCCUGUGAGCGGAGUGGGACUGGAAAUACCAGAUAAUGAUCUGGCAUUCCCAGCCACAAGAGUGACUAUGGACAUUUUGCAGGUGUCCUCUAGAGAGAAAUGCUCUCUUCUGUGACCACGGACCUGAGCUUGGGGGGCCCCGCCAGCAUCCAGGUUCCCCCGAGGAAAUCCUGACAAACAGGAACCACGAUCGGGACAUUCUGCUAUCUGGGUAAGUAAUGGUGUGCUUGGUAAACUCACCACAGACCAAGUGAUCUCCAGGUAAGCGAGGUUCCUUUGCCUGAACAGUUUACCAUGUGAUGGGUUAAUGGCUAGUAUGGAAAAAAAGGGAAAUGGCUCCUUGUUCUCCUUGCCAUGCGAUCCUUUUCAUUUCUGUCCUGGAGAGAAAGUGUGCUCUAUGUGCUUUGUGAGUGCUGAUUGAUUGGCAUGUACCCAGGGAACUCACAUGGCAUUGUGCAUCACAGGAGUGACUGCGGUGGAUUUCCAGGGGAAGCUGGCCAGGGAAAAUGGCAUAUCCUACCAUGGCCUAGACCUUGGAGGGCCCUCAAGCAUCCAGGCAGGCAGUAGUCAGAGCAUGAGGACAACCUUGAGGUCUCUCCAGGAGAUUCAGGGACCAUCGGAUUUGGUACGGAUUCAAGUACGAGAUGAUCAUGGCUCUCAUCAUUGCAGUGACUGUGGUAUUUUGAAGGAAUCCAAGAAACAGAUGAUGGACAUGUCCCUAACCAUGGUAGUGCCCAUGGAAUUUUGUAGCUAUAGAGUGAAAAGAUGA
rnacentral:lncRNA from 1 species